rnacentral:rRNA from 2 species
AGAUUACGCUGGCGGCGUGCAUAACACAUGCAAGUCGAACGAUGAAACUUAGUAGACUUCUUCGGAAAGACACUAAGCGGAUUAGUGGCGAACGGGUGAGUAACGCGUGAGUAACCUGCCUUACACAAGGGGAUAGCCUUUGGAAACGAAGAAUAAUACCCUAUAAAACCAUAAAAGCACAUGCUAGAAUGGUCAAAGUGAUAGCGGUGUAAGAUGGACUUGCGUCUGAUUAGCUAGUUGGUGAGAUAAAAGCUCACCAAGGCAACGAUCAGUAGCCGGCUUGAGAGAGUGUACGGCCACAUUGGGACUGAGACACGGCCCAGACUCCUACGGGAGGCAGCAGUGGGGAAUUUUGCACAAUGGGGGAAACCCUGAUGCAGCGACGCCGCGUGAUUUAGAAGGCCUUCGGGUUGUAAAAAUCUUUUGUAUAGGAAGAAAAUGACAGUACUAUACGAAUAAGGUCCGGCUAAUUACGUGCCAGCAGCCGCGGUAAUACGUAAGGACCGAGCGUUGUCCGGAAUCAUUGGGCGUAAAGGGUACGUAGGCGGCUAGAAAAGUUAGAAGUCAAAGGCUAUAGCUCAACUAUAGUAAGCUUCUAAAACUAUUUAGCUUGAGAAAUGGAAGGGAAAGUGGAAUUCCUAGUGUAGCGGUGGAAUGCGCAGAUAUUAGGAAGAAUACCGGUGGCGAAGGCGACUUUCUGGCCAUUAUCUGACGCUGAGGUACGAAAGCGUGGGUAGCAAACAGGAUUAGAUACCUGGUA